UGUUUAGUUUUUGUGGGCAUUCGGUGGAUGCCUUGGUACCAAGAGCUGAUGAAGGACGUGGCGGCCUGCGAUAAUCCUUGGGGAGUUGGCGAGCGAGCGUUGAUCUGAGGGUGUCCGAAUGGGGGAACCUGGCUGGGGUUGUGCCUGGUCACUAUCAUCUGAAUUCAUAGGGUGGUAGGGGGAACGCGGGGAAGUGAAACAUCUUAGUACCCGUAGGAGAAGAUAUUUCGUGAGUAGUGGUGAGCGAAAGCGGAUGAUGGCUAAACCGUGUGCGUGUGUGACUCGGCGGGGGUUGCGUGUGCGGGGUUGUGGGGCUCUUUUUUCUCAUCUUCUGCCGGGGGUGGGGGUGUGUGCGUGUGCGUGUGGUGAACAUCUUGGGAUGGGUGACCGUAGUGCGUGAUAGUCGUGUAGCUGUGUGUGUGCGUGUGUGCUGAAGGGGUGCCCGAGUAGUGCGGGGCUCGUGGAAUCUCGUGUGAAUCUGCCAGGACCACCUGGUAAGCCUGAAUACUUUUUGGUGACCGAUAGUGCAUAGUACCGUGAGGGAAUGGUGAAAAGUACCCCGGGAGGGGAGUGAAAUAGUGCCUGAAACCGGGUGCCUGUAAGCCGUCAGAGCCUGCUUUUGUUGGGUGAUGGCGUGCCUUUUGAAGAAUGAGCCUGCGAGUCAGUGAUGCGUGGCGUGCUUAACCCGUGUGGGGGAUGCGUAGCGAAAGCGAGUCUUAAUUUUGGGCGUGUGUCGCGUGUUGUGGACCCGAAGCGGGGUGAUCUACCUAUGGUCAGGGUGAAGCUAUGGUAAGACGUGGUGGAGGCCCGUACCCACCAGGGUUGAAAACCUGGGGGAUGAACUGUGGGUAGGGGUGAAAGGCCAAUCAAACUCCGUGAUAGCUGGUUCUCCCCGAAAUGCAUUUAGGUGCAGCGUCACACUGGGCUUGGUGGAGGUAGAGCUACUGGUUGGUUGAUGGGCCGUGUUGGUUACUGACGUCAGCUAAACUCCGAAUGCCAUUUCAAGUGGGUGUGGCAGUGAGACUGCGGGGGAUAAGCUUCGUGGUCGAGAGGGAAACAGCCCAGAUCAUCGGCUAAGGCCCCUAAGCGUGCGCUGAGUUGUUUUUGGGUAGGGGAGCGUCCUGCUCUGGGUGAAGCUGCCUGGUGAUGGGUGGUGGACGGGGUGGGAGUGAGAAUGCAGGCAUGAGUAGCGUUUCGUGGGUGAGAAUCCUACGCGCUGAUUGACUAAGGGUUCCAGGGGCAGGUUUGUCCGCCCUGGGUUAGUCGGGUCCUAAGGCGAGGCCGACAGGCGUAGUCGAUGGGUGACCAGUUGAUAUUCUGGUACCGUUUGUUUUCCGUCUAACGCUGCAUGCUUUCGCGUCGUGUGCUUGCCGUGCGUGGUGUUGUCUUUCGGGAUGAUGCUGAGUGUGGCUGUGUGUGGUGUGGGGUGUGUGGUGAGCAUUGGGGUGACGCAGGGAGGUAGUUGCUGCACACUGGUGGUUAUGUGUGUCUAAGGUUGUGGCCUGUUUCUUGGGUGAAAUCCGGGAAGCUGCGUUUGAUCGCGUGGGUGAGGGCUGAUGGGGCUGCCUGUUGGGGUGGCUAGUGGUGAUCCUGUACUGCCGAGAAAAGCCUGGAUGUGAGGAAGAUGAGCGCCCGUACCCUAAACCGACUCUGGUGGUCAGGUAGAGUAUACCGAGGCGUGCGAGUGAAUCAUGGUUAAGGAAUUCGGCAAAUUGCCCCCGUAACUUUGGGAUAAGGGGGGCCCUGCUGGUGUGCCUGCUUUUGCGUGGGUGGUGCUGGUUGGGGUCGCAGAGAAUUGGGAGAAGCGACUGUUUAUUAAAAACAUAGGUGUGUGCUAAGCCGUAAGGCGCUGUAUACGCACUGACGCCUGCCCGGUGCUGGAAGGUUAAGAGGACGACUUAACUGCUUUUUUGUGGUGAAGGUUUGAAUUUAAGCCCCAGUAAACGGCGGUGGUAACUAUAACCAUCCUAAGGUAGCGAAAUUCCUUGUCGGGUAAGUUCCGACCUGCACGAAUGGCGUAACGACUUCUCCGCUGUCUCGACCGUGAUCUCGGUGAAAUUGCAGUACGAGUAAAGAUGCUCGUUUCGCGCAGCAGGACGGAAAGACCCCGGGACCUUUACUAUAGCUUGGUAUUGGUGUGUGUUUGUGCUUGUGUAGGAUAGGUGGGAGACUGUGAUGCCGUGCCGCUAGGUGUGGUGGAGUCGUUGGUGAAAUACCAUUCUGGUUCAAGUAUGCAUCUAACUUGGAGCCCUGAUCGGGUUUGGGGACAGUGCCUGGUGGGUAGUUUAACUGGGGCGGUUGCCUCCUAAAGGGUAACGGAGGCGCUCAAAGGUUCUCUCAGCCUGGUUGGUGAUCAGGUGGUGAGUGUAAGUGCACAAGAGGGCUUGACUGUGACACUGACGGGUGGAGCAGGUACGAAAGUAGGAACUAGUGAUCCGGCCAUGGCUUGUGGAAGCGUGGUCGCUCAACGGAUAAAAGGUACCCCGGGGAUAACAGGCUGAUCUUGCCCAAGAGUCCAUAUCGACGGCAUGGUUUGGCACCUCGAUGUCGGCUCGUCGCAUCCUGGGGCUGGAGUUGGUCCCAAGGGUUGGGCUGUUCGCCCAUUAAAGCGGUACGCGAGCUGGGUUUAGAACGUCGUGAGACAGUUCGGUCCCUAUCCGCUGCGCGCGUUGGAAACUUGAUGAAGGCCCGUCCCUAGUACGAGAGGACCGGGAUGGACGAACCUCUGGUGUGCCAGUUGUACUGCCAGGUGCAUUGCUGGUUGGCUACGUUCGGUUGGGAUAACCGCUGAAAGCAUCUAAGCGGGAAGCUUUCUUCGAGAUGAGGUUUCCGUGCCCCCCGUUGUGGGGGUGGGAGGUCCCCAGUAGAUGACUGGGUUGAUAGGCCAGAGGUGGAAGCAUUGUGAGGUGUUGUGAGCCGACUGGUACUAAUGGGCCGAUUCUAAACCAA
rnacentral:rRNA from 1 species